GUUGCUUCGUUCGUCUCCCUGAGAAAAGUGAGCCGCGCUUCCGACGGAGUUUCCUGUCAGGAAGCGCCGCGAGGGGAGCGGCGUCUCGCGUGCUCCCGGGACUAGCGCCCGACACGCCCUCGCGUCCCAUUGGGUCGCGGCAUCCGGGCGGGGGGCCUCUGGCGUCCGUGUAGGGGUUUGCUCGCCGGUGACCCGCCGACCCUUUCCAAGUCCAGUCCCUCGAGGCAGAUCCCGCGCUCGUGGCCACCGCGGUCCCGGCUCCGAAUGCGCGUGCCGGGGGAUCCCGGCGUAAACUGCAUUUUACAACCGAAGUGCCGCAGACCGAUGCCCUUUUUCCUCUUCGCCUCGAGCUUGUGCGGCAGAGACCGGAGCUGGGAAGGCGCCUUCCUCUGGCCGACUGAGGGGGAGACCUAAGCUCCCCCCUCCCCGGAGGUCCGUUACCCGCGGAGAGCGCGCUCAGCACCUGGAGCAGAGCCCCGCGUGGCCGGCUGCACGGUGCUAUGCCCGCAGAGAUCCCAGGCACCCAGCUCAAAAGAUCACAGUUGUGCUCAAGUUCGGUGUCAGAAUACACAGACAUCCACCUUGUAAAAGUAGGAAGGAGGCACACCGGCCAGGGAGGAGCAACCACUCCGAAAGAGGGGACACAGGUUCGAUCCCUGGUCCGGGAAGAUCCCACAUGCAGCGGAGCAACUAAGCCCGUGUGCCGUAACUACUGAGCCUGCGCUCUAGAGCCCGUGAGCCACAACUACUGAGCCCACGUGCCACAACUACUGAAGCCUGCACGCCUAGAGCCCGUGCUCUGCAACAAGAGAAGCCACCGCAAUGAGAAGCCUGCGCACCGCAACGAAGAGUAGCCCCCCACUCGCCCCAACUAGAGAAAACCCGCGCAGCAACGAAGACCCAACACAGCCAAAAAUAAAAUAAAUUUAAAAAAAAAAAAGAUAUUUCACACCUUCUCCCCGCAAAUAGCCAUGCCCCUUUGCAGUCAACCCCUCCCUCCAGACCCUGGAUCCUAACAACUACUAACUCGCUUUUCUCUCUGCUGUAGUUUUCCCUUUUCUAGAAUCCCACAUAAAUGUAAUCAUGCAGUAUGAAAUCUUUUGUUGUCUGCCUGCUUUCACAUAGAUUCAUGCAUGUUUUUAUAUGGAUCUGUAGUUUUUCCUCUUUGUUGUUUAGUAGUGUUCCAUUAUAUGGAUAUAUCAAUAUAAUUUGUUUAUUCACCAGGUGAUGGACAUUUGGGUUGUGUCCAGUUUUUCGCUAUUACAAAGAAAAUGCUAUGAACAUCGAUAUUCAAGUUUUUGUGUAUAGUGCAUAUGUUUUUUUCUUGGAUAAAUAUCCAGAAGUGAUAUUUCUGGGUCAUAUGGUUAAUGUAUGUUUAUUUUUUUUUAAUGCAAAACAGUUUUCCAAAGUGGCCAUAUUAUUUUGCUUUCCCAUCUGCAAUGUUUGAGAGUUCCAGUAUUCUACAUUGUUGCCAACACUUGAUAUUAUCAGUUUUUAAAAAUUUUUGGCCUUUUGUGUAGGUAGAGUGGUAUCUCAUUGUAGUUUGACUAGCAUUUCUUAAUGAUAAAUAAUAAUUGAGCAUCCUGUCAUGUGCUUAUUUUCAAUUUGUAUGUC